rnacentral:tRNA from 1 species
GUAACUCAAGUACGAUUUAUUUCAGAAUUAAAAACAGUGUACGCUUUAAAUCCUUUCUUAUGUUUUACUUUAAUCAUUAGUUUUUU